CCCCCUCCAAAUGGUGGAAUAGUUCUCAUAGGAAAGCUCUGUGGACACUUCUUAUUUCUGUCUCAAGAAACCUAUUCAAACUACUUUGUGCAAGCUUGUUUUGACUCUGGAUCUUGGCCUUGGUGCCUCGUAGCUCAGCUUCAAUUUGUUCAAUUUUUGUGAUUUUCAGGUUCAGAUGUUUGCUUAAUCUUCUUCCAAUGUCUCUUUGGAAGAAGAUUCAACUGCUUCAUCUCUUUGUGAGCUUAGUGUGCGAGUUGCUAACCCUAGAUGAAGACAUUAAACCCCUUUUCGAUCAGCUUUUCACCAUCUUCAGUCCUCAUGACAUGAAGGUACAGUUUCUUUUUGCUUUUAUUUUUCUUGGUUUGAUGUAGAAUUCUUAGUUUUGAUUCUUCUUUGAAUAUAGAGUUGUUUACCAUCUAAGGCACAGUUUGAGUUCUUUUAACAUAUAUAGACACAUUGGGCUGUUGGGACACUUUUUUUGGACAGCUGUCCUUUUUCUGACCUUUAUGCCCUCAAACCCAGUUAGUUGUGUUUUGUAUGGUUAGGUUAAAGUAACCCAGCUGAAUUGUGGACAUUAAAAAAGUUUGGUAUUGUGUCUUAAUCUGAACCACAAGUUUAAAUUUGCCUAAGGAAAUCUAACAGGUGUGUAACGAUUUUAUAUUUGAGAUUUGCAUGCCUUUAGAUUUCAUUAGAAGCAACAAGAUCCAACGGUAGAUAAUAAGAUUGUAUUACAUUAUUAGUUUUUAUUUUUAUUAUAUAUUCACCCCUUAUGUCUUAUUUUGAGUGUAUUUCAAAAUUUAAAAUACAUAAGUAAAUAUAUUUGGUAUAGUUUGUUCUAAUUUUUUUUCCUUUGUACUUUGACAUCCAUUUUAAUAAUUUUAAUAAUUAAUAAAUAAUUUUUUGUGGAUAAACAAUGUCUGGACAUGAGUUCUAAUUAUGUGGACAUGUGAAUUAUGGACAGACAAUUUGUGGACGGAUGACUUAUGGAUCUGGUUUUUCAUUUACCAUAAUAACAAAAUAUAGACCAUGAAGUUGUUCUUAGUCUAGGUGUGUGGACAUGGGAGGUGUGGAUAGGAGAGUUGGGUAAAGAGAAGUUGUGUACAGGGGAUGUGUGUACAUGAUGCCUUUGACAAAGGCGUGGACGAGCGGACUGUGGACAGAGUAACAACCAGAGCCUAUCUUGAUCCAAAACCAAAAUACGUAUCUUUUGGGGAAGGAGGAAGCCUCUCCCAUCCCAGAAGCUCUCCUCUUAGCCUGAAACCCACUCUUUGUCACUCUAUUAAUUAACCUCUCCACCGCCGCAUCCGCCAUCUCCCCAACCUCAGUUCUAGGCUCUCCUCCGCAUCUUUCAUCAUCGCUUCCAGUUCUUCACAUCCUCAUCUGCUUCCGCCAUCACCGCUUCCGACAUGUUCGCCGUCUUCGUCUCUUCUUGUCCUCCAACUUUUUCAUCCCUCUCCCAAUACACUUACCAUUGAAGUUACAGCGUCGGUGACGGAGAUCCUUGCCGUGUGGCUUCUAGAUUAAUCUCACAAUCUCGCUUCUAGAUCUGACAAUGGUUUUGCUGGAUUUGAAGGAAGCAUCGGGAAUCUAAAGGUCGUUUAAACGGAAAUUGCAACCCAUUUCUUCAACCUUUCAAUCAACCAUUCAUUCAACAAUCUCUGUACAAUUGUCGACUCAUUUGGUGUGAAUCUUGCCGGGGCUUUCAAAAACGACCUUUGGUGCUUGAUCCCAAACGGGAGAGCUUGCUAUGUCCUUAAAAGAUACACGAGGAACCCCCAUCAAAAUGGUGGAACCGAUAUCAUUGCAAAGCUGUGCGGGCACUUCUUUUUUCUCUCUCAAGAAUCAUACUCCAACUUUUUUGUGCAAGCAUGCUUUGAUUCUGGAU